rnacentral:rRNA from 1 species
CAGUAGCCGCGGUAAUACGUAGGUGGCAAGCGUCGUCCGGAAUUAUCGGGCGUAAAGCGCGCGCAGGCGGAUAGGUCAGUCUGUCUUAAAAGCUCGGGGCUUAACCCCGUGAUGGGAUGGAAACUGCCAAUCUAGAGUAUCGGAGAGGAAAGUGGAAUUCCUAGUGUAGCGGUGAAAUGCGUAGAUAUUAGGAAGAACACCAGUGGCGAAGGCGGCUUUCCGGACUGCAACUGACGCUGAGGCUCGAAAGCCAGGGGAGCGAACGGGAUUAGAUACCCCAGUAGUCCCUGUCUCUUAUACA